AAAUUGCAACAUUUUCCUCAGUCGGCAAAAGUUUUCGGUGACGAAAUGUUACAAAAUUACUCGUGAUUAUUUCUCCCAUUUUUCAGGGGCGUAACACUUACAACUUUCCAGUUGCAUUGUACAUGUCUGGACAUCCAUCGGAAAGUUCUUCAGAUCCAUUGGGCAAGACAGAAUCAGAGUCAACCUGAGAAGCAAGACAGCAAGAGACACAAAAUGGAGAAAGUGGCUAACCACCUUUCAUCUCUCCCGUUGACCUGCUCUGCCUCCACACCUGAGCACCGCUCGGCCUCGAGCCGUUCCCUAAAUGGACUCAAAAUUGAUCUGCUACAUGUCACAUCAGAGCAGAGAAAAUUGAAUGCGGGGGACCUGUGAAGGGGAAUGACAUGAGAGGAACACGCCUUAAACCACAUCAUCAAAGAUGCCUGACCUGGAGCAGUGGCGACGUAUGAUCUGGAUGUUUGGGUCGGUUGGCAAACAAUCUGUUGUUUCACUCCGUAUGCCUUCAUGCACUAAUAGACACAAGCACUAUUUUUCUAUAGAAGAGCGGAUGGGUUAUAUGCUGCAACAUGUUCAACACAAAAGAUCAUGGUAGGGUUUGAAACACACACUGCCUUGCAUAAACUUCCUGGACUUUUACAUAUAUUACAGUAAAAUGAUU